UUAUUACAGAAUUUCAACAGCUCAUUUGAAAAUCAGAACUCGAUGAAUUUACGACCGUCUAUCUAUACAAAAUACAAUUCUGGGGAAUAAUUGGCCGUCUCCUUUCAAACUGUUUAAUUACUUGAAAAAUGACAUCUACAUGACAUCUUGCGAAAUUUUAAAAUUAGAUAAUAAAUUUAACAUUUCAAGUAUCGAAAAGAAGAGAGUAGACUAUUUAUUAAACGAAGUAAUUUCAAAAUUGGGUGGAUAGCCUGUUCCUAAAGGAUCUGAGUGGAAAGAUACUGAUUUUAAGUGGGAUGAAUUUAAUCAAAAAGCUUUUAACAAUGGUGUCUCAGUAUCUCCCUUUUUUAUGUAUUUCAAUAUGAAAUACCAAAACUAUUGGUUAAAAUAUAUAAAUCCCCCACAAUUGGAAUUUAAUGUAAUAUUCUACAAUAGCAGUGGACAAAAUUCCUAAUUUUUGUCUCAGGUUAAUAUUUACCGUAACUAUGUAUAGCAGAGGUCGCUAAAUUUUUAGGAGCCAGCGAAAAUCAGGCUGAAGAAUUAAAAGAAUCAGUGGAUUUUGAGAUGGAACUCAUCUUUGCAAGCAUAAAUAUCAAUGUAUCAUUAAAUACUAGCAACCCUAAAAAUGGAAUGUCAGUUAAAGAAAUAACGGAAAAAUGGCCGAGUAUAAAUUGGAAAAAAUUAUUGAAAUAUUUUCCCCAAUGGCAAUUGCCUCUCACAAACGAUUCGAUAAUAUUCAUCAGUAAUCCUGAUUACAUAAAAAAUCUCGAAACACUAGUAAAAAAGACUCUUAAAAGAGUGCUCGCUAAUUUUGCAGUUUGGAAAACUAUUGAAUUAUUAUUAAUUCCAAUUACUAGAUCAAAAACUCUACUCGAUAUUCGAAAUAAUUUUUACAAAUCCUUAAAUGUUUCAAUCACAGAAUCUAAUUCUAAUUGUUAUACACCUCUUAAAACUGCUAUGCCAAAUAUUCUUCUCUCUUUUUACUUACGCCAUUAUCCAUUGGACAAAGAUGCUUUAGAUAAAGCUAAUCAAGUUAUUAUUGAUACAAGAAACAAAUUAGUUGAUACUGUGAAUAAUAGUUCUAACAAACUCGAUAA